UGUAAACAUCUUGGCCGGAGAAGACAGGUGGUUUGAAAGAGGAGUAAAGGAAUCCAUCUACAUCAAAUUGGAACGACCAUCUUUGAACAGAGAAGGUGGCCUAAGACAUUACUUAUCACCCACUAACAAUACUGUACUGAGUUCUCUCUCCAGACAGCUUAACAACCAUCCACACCUGGGCUCAGCUAGACUAUGAAAACCCACAUGAAAGCCGGUUUGACCAACGACUCUGAACCCAAGUGUUAAUCAUCAGAGUGGCUUUUUAGUGAUGGCGACAACUGAAGGAGUCAAGUGGCCUGAACACGGAUGUCAUGUUAGCAUUUUUGCUAUCGGACAGUUGGAGAGGGAUGCAUCGACUUCCACCCUUUGAAGGGUCAGUUCACUACAGAACCAUGUCCUGCUGUUUCCACUAUGUCUGCAGAGCAUCUCUCUGACAGGACAACCACUGCUAAAACCUGAGAAGAUUGAGACAGCGUCAACAUCGGCAGCUUGACCUGUUGGCCAACACUGACCUGUGUUUAUCAUCAGUCAAGAAACCUCUGGACGUGCUUCCUGCAUAUAGAUGUUUAUGCUAAUUGUACUGUAUAGUGUCUAAACAAUAAAAGAUACACUAUUUUUGUUGUUAUGUAUUUAUAUUUACAUAUGACCAAUAAGAAAGUGUUUAUUAUGUGUAAACUGCUCCAACUUUUCACAUAGAGCCCCUUUAAUACUGAUUUCUAGGUGUUUCUGAUCACUGUGAUAAUACUGAUGAUGAGGAUGUCCAUGUGACCCCAAACAUGGAUUGGAAUAAUUUUGCUGAUUCUUUGACAUUUAAUUUUGCACCAUUAUCAAGUCAAUAAAGUAAA